UACUCGGAUAGUUUUUAACAUAUUAUAUAUAAAUUUUUGUAUCUUGCGCAGGGAGAGCGAAUCCGCCGAAUUUAAGCAUAUAAUUAAGCGGAAGAAAAGAAAAUAACUAUGAUUUCCUUAGUAACGGCGAGUGAACUGGAACAAGCUCAGAGGGAAUUUAUUUUACUUGUAUUUUAUAUAAGUAAUAAUAGAAAGGUCCUUGCUAAUUUCUUUAAGAGUUUUUGUUUAUUAAGUGGGAAAAUCGCCGGAUUGUGGUGCCAUAGAGGGUGAAAGCCCCAUACCUAAAACCAAAAGCUUGUCAGGAUAAGAGAGAUAUUUAGCAUAAUGAGUCGCGCUCUUUGAGAUUGGAGUGUCAAUAUGUUUUCGUGUGAUACGCUUCACACAAAGCUGAAUAUAUGUGGGAGACCGAUAGUGAACAAGUACCAUGAGGGAAAGAUGAAAUAGUACUCAGGAAUGGGGGAUUAAAUGUACCUGAAAUCGUCAAGGCGGAACGGAGAAGUAGUGCUUUUACAUAAUUUUUGAGUUAUGUAUUAUAAAGCGAUGCAAUGUAAAAAAUAAAAAAUACUAAAUUAUUUUAUUUAUAUAUAAAUAAAGUAAUUAAAUGUUUCAAAUAAAUAAAUUUUUUUACCAAAUUUAGUAUUUUUUUUGCAUAAGGAAAUAAACACUAUACUGUGUAUGAUAUCGCUGGGGCGCGCUGCUUUCCCACUCGUCUUGAAACACGGACCAAGGAGUCUACCAGCCUCGCAAGUUUAUCUUGAUAUGUAAAAAGGUAAGCGUAGAGAAAUCAACUUUUUUUUAUAUAUCUCCGAAUUUUUCAAUGUAGGAGAGCCCAGCCGUCUUUAUUUUAAGUGGUUGAGGAAGCGAGUCUGCUAGGACCCGAAAGGCGAUGAACUAGUUGUGACGAGGUUGAAGCUCAGCGAAAGGUGAGUGGAGGACCGAACGGAUACUGACGUGCAAAUCGUUCCGUCGAGUUGCAUCUAGGGGCGAAAGACUCAUCGAAUCGCCUAGUAGCUGGUUAUUUCCGAAAGAUCUCUCAGGAUCGCUGUGUCGUACUUUCCUUUUUUUAUUAAGUUACGUUGCGUAGAGGAAUGAUUGGGGUCUCGGGGAAUUGAUUUUCCUCGCUCCCCUCUCAAACUCCCAAGCAGCGUCAUUGUUUUUAUUCUCUUAAAUGGAAUAAACAAAAAUUAAAUUAACGACACAUGUGGGCCAAUUUUGGUAAGCAGAACUGGCGAUGAGGGAUGCUCCUACCGGGAGACUAAGGCGUCUAAGUGUGUCCGCGCAUGAGAUCCCAGUAAAAGGUGCGGUUGCAUCUGGACAGUAGGACGGUGGCCAUGGAAGUUGGAACCCGCUAAGAAACGUGUAACAACGUACCUACCGAAUGUUCCCGCCCUGAAAAUGGAUGACGCUAAGCGGGUCGCCGACGUCUCCCCGUUUGGUACAGAAAUAUAUGUUUUUAUUAAGUACUAACGUGUAGGAAAUCGUGCGUCUAGCAUGGAAGCUUAAACGUGAGUUUAAGUGAAGCUAUGAUGUAGUGCCGAUCUUGGUGGAAGUAGCUUUUAUUCAAAUGAGAAUUUUUGAAGUCUGACGAGGAGAAGGGUUUCCGGAGAACCGCAUUGGGUCCGGAGUGAGUCGCGCCUAACACUGGCCCGAAAGGGUUCCUGUCGCAUUUGUUUAAAAUACAUGUUACUGUGGAUUUUUGUUUCAUGCGGAGUGGAAAGGGAAACCGGUUUGUAUUCCGGCACCCGCGUUAAUAGGUUUUUCGUAAAUACAAUGGUAACAAUUAGUAACUUUCUGUCACAGGUCCUUUUUUCGUGGUGCGUUUUCUUUGCACUCUAACAUAUCUUAGCACGCUCGGAGAGGUUCAAUCUGAGGAGAGCGUGUACAGAAAACACAUAUGCUAUGUCUGAAGAACCUUUAGGCAUUAAUUGUGGGAAAGAUCGAUUUUUAUAAUCGAUUCGGAAUAAAGGAACUGUCCAUGAACAAGAGGGGUACUAAUCCAACAAGCAUGCUUGCAUGUUUGUACGAUUAACGCGGCGCGUACCAAAAACCGCAUCAGGUCUCCAAGGUUAGCAGCCUCUGGAAUUGGAAAACUGCAGGUAAGGGAAGUCGGCAAAAUGGAUCCGUAACUUCGGGAAAAGGAUUGGCUCUGCGGCGAGGUUUCAUAUGUGUAUUUGUUUUUGUACGUUCUGCGUUAUUGCUUUUAUUUUUAGUUUUUUUAAUUAAAAAUAGUGAGAAAAAACCAGAAUGUCAGAUAAAUGUACUGUGGAUGCUGUUUUGUAUAGUGUAUAAAUUUAUUUAUUACUAUACUUGCGGUCUUGCCGAGCAGAACCGUUGUCCAGGGGAAUCCGACUGUUUAAUUAAAACUUAGCAUAGCGCUUUUUCGUAGCCUUAAGAAGGUGUGAACGGUAUGUGAUUUCUGCUCAGUGCUUAGAUAGUGACCAGAAGUAAAGGUCUUUUUGAAGCGCAGGUAAACAGCGGGAGUAACUAUGACUCUCUCCAGGUAGCCAAAUGCCUCGUCAUCUAAUUAGUGACGCGCAUGAAUGGAUUAACGAGAUUCCCACUGUCCCUACUUGGAUUCCAGCGAACCCACAGCCAAGGGAACGGGCUUGGCAAUGAACGGCGGGGAAAGAAGACCCUGUUGAGCUUGACUCUAGCCGGGCAGCUAGGGCGCCUUCGGGGUGCAGCGUAGGUGGUAGUAUGUACAUUUCGGUGUAUAUACGUCCCUGAGACCCCACCACCCGACUCGCGCCCCGGCUCACCGUCUUAUCACGCAUCUUUUAUGAGUUGUUUUUUAUUCUAUUUUUUUACAAAAUAAGAUAAAUUUUGGUGACCUGACGGGAUGUCCCGGUGGGGAGUUUGACUGGGGCGGUACAUCCACUAAAUCGCAACGUGGAUGUCCUAAGGCACGCUCGGCCAGGACAGAAACCUGGCGUAGACCAGAAGGGGAAAAGCGUGCUUGACUGUGCUUUUUGAGGAAUAAGCACCGCACGGAAACGUGGGCCUACCGAUCCUUCCCACGGCAAAGGAGUUUUUUAUUUAUAAAAGACGAUUGUACCGGGGGAGGUGUCCGAAAAGUUACCACAGGGAUAACUGUCUUGUGGCUGCCAAGCGUUCCUAGCGACGUAGCUUUUUGAUCCUUCGAUGUCGGCUCUUCCUACCAUGGGGAUGCAGAAGUCCCCAAGUGUCGGAUUGUUCACCCGCUAAUAGGGAACGUGAGCUGGGUUUAGACCGUCGUGAGACAGGUUAGUUUUACCCUACCGUUGUAUAUUUUAAAUAGUUGUCGGAAAAGAUCUGAGGGGCAACUCAACAUGGUACGAGAGGAUUUGUUGAUUCGGGCCGCUGGUCCCGCGGUGCGUUGAUAAGCGCAAGCCGCAAAGCUACGCCCGUUUGCUAAGGGCUGAACGCCUCUAAGCCUGAAGCAAUCCCCCGAAGACUUUCCUUAAUUAUAAAGAAAAUAUAUAAAUAUGUGUUAUACAAAUAAUCCUUUGAAACCAAACUAAUUAAUCGAUGUGCUGUAAACUACAGACAUUUUCCGGA
rnacentral:rRNA from 1 species